rnacentral:lncRNA from 1 species
CGGACAGGAAAAGGUUCUCAGUGACUGGUGGAUUCUGGGAAGGGAUAGUCAUUGUCUUCAGUUGUGUACCCAAGGUGAGCCAGCUAGGCUCCAGAGGAGAGUUCUGCAGACACACAGAUAGCCCUGGUUAAAAUCAGUGGUUCACAAAACAGAACAAUAUACCAGGAGCUGGAGUAUGGUGAGCAGUUACAGAAAGAAACCACUCAAAGAAAGCUGCAUCACAAAACUCCAUCUCAGGGUGGGAGCCAGUUCUGGGAAGCUGCAGGACACUAGCUCACCAGGGUCUCUGGAAACACCACAGCCAUCAAGUGUCCAUCUACGAGAGGCAAGAAGGCCGUUCAGUUCAAGAGGACUCAGUAGUCGGUGUUGGUUCUAACUUCAGAAGUCUGACCUCCAAUGAUUUAUUUUAGGCAUGUUUAAGUGCAGCACACUUUGGAAAACAAUUUCCUGGUGAUAAUUAACUCAGUUACAGUUACACAAAGCAUUAGACCUGACUACAUUGAAACUCUUCGUGAAGUACAAGUGACACUGUCCGUAAAGAUUAACUGAGAGAACAUGCUCAAAUUAGGAGUCUGAGGGGAGGGGAGUGCCAUAGAUUGAUCGAGACAAACAAGGUCAAGAUUAGAGUCUGGGAAAAAGGAGCUGGCAUGGCCUGGCCACACAGAUAGUGCAAAGGUCACCAGGGUAUCAACCAAGUGUGCUUCCAGCCUCCUAGGUGGGAAACAGCGUGUAUAUCUCUUUCUUUGAAGAGACACCUUGUGUUUAACAUUUCUGGUUCCCCAAGUGCUUUUAAGUGAACAUAAGGACCUAUAUGACUCCUAUGCCAUUUCAUGGUCAAUUUUAAGGACUGCGGGUCAAGAUAUUUUCCUUUCAUUUUAAGGCAAUGAAAUAACAUCUUCCAUAGUAUGUGCAAAAUUAAGGGUUGGCUAAUUGUAACUAAGGGAGGUGGGCACUUUUAGGAUAUAACUUCUACAAUUGUGUGUGUCUGUUGAGGGAACUACAUAAAACAUUGAAAAGUACCUACUAACAUCUUAUUUCUGUUGUUUUGGUUAAGAAGAUCUUUUGUAGAAUACUGCAGUGUGAGGUUUGGGAAUGUGGCUUGAUUGGUAGGCUUCUCGCCUAGGAAGCAGGAAGCCCUAAAGUGUUAACCCCGGUGUGGUGGCACACAUCAGUAAUCCCACAACCCAGGAAGUAGAGUUAGGAAUAUCAGAAGCUCAAGAGCAUCCUUGACUGUACAAGGACUUCAGUUUGGGCCAAAGACACUGUCAAAGGAAGGAAAAGAAAGAACGGAAGAGAAGAAGGAAGGAAGGAGGGGAGGAAGGAAAGAAGGAAAGAAGAAAAGAAGGAAGACAGGAAUGAAAAACUUCAUGAGGAACCAGCCAGGGUCUGGAGAGAAUCAUCACAGUAAAUUCUCUUUGGAGAAGCCCUCCUGUCUGCUGUUUGUCCUUCCAGACAUGAACCUUAAUUUACUCACAUCUUCAGAGCGGCUUAUUCUCCCACAGCACAGAAGGCAUGGAGGAGUUCGAGGUAGCCCUCUUCACAUGACGGUGGAUUGAGAAGUAGACAGUGCACAGACCUGGGGGCUAGGCUAUUAACCUUCGAGGCCUCUCCCCAGUGAUCAACUUCUCGAGCCAGGCUCUAUGUCUUUAAAGCUCCACAGACUGUCAAAGCCGUGCCUCCAGCCGCAGCAGCCGUGUUAAAAUCAUGAGUUCAUGAGCAGGCCUUUCAGACUCACACAAAGAUGGUGCUUACCCCGACAUGGGCUUUCCUCUAGGAAUGCGCAUAGUCUCUCUAAUAAAAUUUGAAGUCAG